CUGCCCUGAUCCCAAAUCCCAAUUAUCCCAAUCCCAUUUAUCCCAUUUAUCCCAAUAAAUUCACACAUAGGCCGACUCGCUGGACUGCGUCCUGCCCCGAUCAAUCCCAUUUAUCCCAAUCCCAAUUAUCCCAAUCCCAAAUUCACACGUAGGCCGACUCGCUGGACUGCGUCCUGCCCCGAUCAAUCCCAAUCCCAAUCCCAUUUAUCCCAAUCCCAUUUAUCCCAAUCAAUUCACACGUAGGCCGACUCGCUGGACUGCAUCCUGCCCCGAUCAAUCCCAAUCCCAAUCCCAUUUAUCCCAUUUAUCCCAAUAAAUUCACACGUAGGCCGACUCGCUGGACUGCGUCCUGCCCCAAUCCCAAUUAUCCCAAUUAUCCCAAUUAUCCCAUCAAAUUCACACGUAGGCCGACUCGCUGGACUGCGUCCUGCCCCGAUCAAUCCCAAUCCCAAUCCCAUUUAUCCCAU
rnacentral:lncRNA from 1 species